UUAGCUAAUUCUAGGGCUUAUCUACCUUCUUAAUUGUUCCAUCGAUCAAUUUUUCGUUUUGAUUUUUCAGUAACCAAAUAGAUUUUUUAGAAGAAAAUCUCAACUGUAUAUAUGUACUCGUUUUCUUUUAUUUAUGCGUUUGUUCUUGUCUGGUAUUAUUAAUUCAUCUACGGGGUAAAAUUUGGGUUUCGUGCUCUUUGUUUGGUUGUUAAGAAAUUGUAAGAAACAUGAAUGAAAAUUUUGAGAUGCUUUGCUGGGGUUUGUGCCACAAGAGCUGCAAUCAAUGAGUGUUUGUGUCGCAAGAGUUGGAAAAACAGGAAUUGGAGGAGGCUAGGUUCAUGAUCGAUGUGAAUCUAAUGGGGACAUUUCAUUUGAUUAAGGCUUCUUUGCCGAGGAUGAAGCAUCGGAAGAAGCGUGGACCAACGUUGAUGGACAUUAUAUCAUCGUAGGCCAGUCAGGUGGGCAUUUAUGGUUACACAGCUUACACGACUAGCAAGUUUAGCCUCAAGGGAUUGACAAAAGCUUUGCAACAGGAGGCCGUUGUAGACAACAUUUAUGUCUCACUUAUAUUUCCUCUAGAAACAGAAACUCCAGGGGUUGAAGCAAGGCACAUCAACAAAGGCAUUCUUAAAGGGUGUCGAAACAUGGAAGAAAUAAACCAUAAUGAAAAAGGAGGCUGCUAAGCGUUUAGGAACAAAUGGCAAUGGUACGGAGGAAGUAGAGUACCAGCCUCUUCCUAGUGGCCUAAGUAAUGGCACUCAAAAUGCCACCAAGAAAUUUGAAGAACUAGAAGUGAGUAUACUAUGAAAAUCUUGUUUUAAUUUCAAAGUUUUCAAGAAUUGAUUUAUGUAACCAUCUAAGGUCAGUAUUAUUGAAAAUGUUUAAACUGGAAGGAACUUGGGCUUCUUGUUUUCGAUUGGGUUGCUUUCCUCAAUUGCAGAUUGCAAAGGUUUCCUCAUUCCUGACCUUAUUUUGGUGGGCCUUUAUGGUUACACAGCUUAUACGACUAGCAAGUUUAGCCUCCGGGGAUUGGCAAAAGCUUUGCAACAGGAGGUCAUUGUAGACAAUAUUUAUGUCUCACUGAUAUUUCCUCUAGAAACAGAAACUCCAGGGUUGGAGCAAGUAGGCUCAACUGUUUACUAUAAUCUUAAGCUAAGGCAUCCUACACUUGAUAUGCCUAUCAUUUACUAUGAUUUGGCGCUGCUUUUCCAACCAAUGCUCAUGAUGGGCAUUAGCAUCGGGGUUGUUUUUAAUGUUUCAUUUGCUGACUGGAUGGUUACAAUUUUGCUAAUUGUUCUCUUCUUAGGUAAUUAGCUGAAUUUCAAUUCUUCUAUGUAUAUCUGAGACUCCAAGAGUGCCCUUGACUCAUUAUGAUAGUUUGCAGGCUCAUCAACAAAGGCAUUCUUAAAGGGUGUUGAAACAUAGAAGAAAGAAACCAUAAUGAAAAAGGAGGCUGCUAAGCGUUUAGGAACAAAUGGCAAUGGUAUGAAGGAAGUAGAGUACAAGCCUCUUCCUAGUGGCCUAAGUAAUGGCACUCAAAAUGCCACCAAGAAAUUUGAAGAACUAGAGGUCAGUAUUAUUGAAAAUGUUUAAACUGGAAGGAACUUGGGCUUCUUGUUCUCGAUUGGGUUGCUUUCCUCACAUUGCAGAUUGCAAAGGUUUCCUCAUUCCUGACUUUAUUUUGGAAGGAUCUCAAUCAACAAAAUAACAUAUUCUUAUCCUGAAGGACAUCAUUUUCCAAAACAACAAAUGCAGCCAGAAUCCAUUAGUUUCUAAGGAAGAUUAAACUCACAAGCAAAAGAAAAAGCUUCAAUCUACUGUCUUGUCUUCUACAACACACAAGUACCUUAAUAAACCAGGAACCACCCAUCAUUUUCGGAAGUCAUUGACCAUGCCAUCUUCCUCAACAUCAACAACAUUAGGGAAGCAGAGAACAAUGGACAGGAAAUUGCAAAGACAAUGUAGCUUCUCAACUUCAUGGCAUAGAAACUAUUCUAGAGGUUGGUACUUGUAAAAGCAAAAGGGCUAGGCAAGAGGUUCACAUCAUCAGAGUUGAAGUUUGCAAUUACUAGAGAUUUCAGCCUUGAAAUGGUGAUAGGAGAAGAUUUUGGAUCAACAAUGGUAUAUAAUGGAGCACAAGAAGUUAUAGUUUUCCUUUUACCUUCAAA